CCAAUUUUUGUCAUCCCGGAGACGGAUGGGAAGAAGAGACAGGGAGCAGAUCUUCACAGCAGGAGAAAAGAGCCCUGCCCCAUCCCCGUCCCUCAGUACAGUCCGUCAUUCAGACCACUUGAAAGUGAGUCAUCGCAACCCUGGAGACCACGGCCUCUGAGUUGGAACACGAGUCUCAUGACCAGACGUUUCGGCCCUGAGUGAAUCCUCACCCAGCCUCUGAGAGGAAGCCCCAGGUUUCUGCCCCCAGAAGCCUGACAGGUGCUGGGAGGCGGGCUCCACAUAUGAAGGACUUGGAGGAGAGAAAACAUGCGAGAAGGUCAGGCAAUGGCACACAUGAUGUUCAGGAGGCCGGCUUUUCCAGCAUGUCAUGGUAACAGGUGCUUUGUGGAUUUGCACACGGAGGGCAAGCGGGGAGUGGAUGAUCCAGCAGGACCGGCCAUACACAGGAAAAUGUGCAUGCAGGAUUAAGCAGCCCCAGCCUGGCCCCAGCCAACCUUCCCGGCGUAGUGAUGGAUGAUGAAGCCUUGGUUCCAGCUGUUGAAGUGCUCAUGGCUCCCAAUCUGCAUCUGCAGCUUCUGCAGCAGUGUCUGAUCGGCCCCCUCACCCACUGCGUGCAUGGUGGCGCACACGUCGUCCAGGAUGCUCAUGAUCCCGGGAGGGUUCUGGCGGCACGGAGGAGGCAAAGCCCCAGUCAGUUGAAUCUUGCUGCCAAGGUCCAGACUCACAUACACUUCCCAUAUUGAAACUUCCCGGUAGAGGAACAGAAGGCCUCACAAACGCCACCUUCAGAAGAGUUGUGAUUUCGUAUCCUCGUUUUCUGUUCUCACCCUCCAGCAAACAGCCAUUGAGCCUGUUCUUCAAGCUUCACAGCUAGGGAUCCUGCUUGAUUUCUCUUCCCUUCUGAGCUUGUUGCAAAUUAUUUUGAACAAGCCCUGUUGGCUCCAGUCUCCAUACUAUAUGCAGGAUCUUUUGACCUCUCACCAUGAUCUCCACCUCCACUGCUGUGGCCCAGAGCCCCUCUGCGUCUGCUCAGUUUCCCCCGGGAGUCUCCCGACUGGUGUUUAAACUUCCUACCCAGUUUACUGUUCUCUGACUUCACUCUACAGAAACACAUUGAUCUUCUCAAAAACACAAUACAGGUCCUCACUUCCUGCCCAGAAAAAUGGGUGCCCACUGCACCUACCGUAAAGCCAGUCUCUGCUGUGCCCUGCACAGUUACUGACGGGGCACCUGCCAUGUUGGUCCCUACCACGUUCUCCUUGGCCAUCUACUCCGUAGCAGUUGGCGGCUGGGAGUCCGAGGUGUGUGGGAGUCCACUGGUGCCAAGGUGAGACAAAAACACGUCCACAAUCACAUGGCCCUAACGCUACCUUGGCUUAGUAAUGUAGCAGGUAAAAGGGAGUUCCCCCAAAUUUCAAGUCCACCUGGGCAUAUGAGGUUUGGAAACAGGGCUUUUGUAGAUGUCAUUUGUUAAGGGCCCCAUGAUCGAAUCACCCUGUAUUGGCCUCAGGGAGUUAUCCAAAGACUGGCACUGUCACCAAAAAAAGGAGCGGGAAGAAGCUUGGUCUCACAGAGACAGAGAAGAGAAGGCAGAAUUUGGAGUGACACUGUCACAAGCCGGAAAUGCUUGGUGCCACCAGAAGCUGGAAGAGGAGGAACUGCAGGGCUCCAGGCAGCCUCCUCUUUAGCACUUUUGGGGGGCAUAUGGCCCCUAGCUUCAGACUUUGGGCUCCAGAGACGGGAAUAGAGAAAUCCCCAUUGUUUUAUGCCACACGGCUGUACCUUGUGAAGGUGACGCCAAUUAUAUGGCGUCCGGAACAAGGUGGCACCUGCACUUCAGUCUUAGAAAGAACCAUAAGCAAGACUGUUACCGCGAAUAAGAAUCAAAAUGUCAGCUUUGUUAAAAAUACAUUCUUUUAGGGGGACAGGAAGAGCUCUGAAUCUGAGAGCAUGUUUUUCCAUAGGAAUGCGCUAUAGGCACAGACAGUGGGAUUGGAAAGAGGCUGAGUCACAGAGCGGUAAAGACAGCCAGUCCUUAGGCCAGCAGCAGCGAGUGCUGCAGGAGAAAGAAAAUGCGGCAGAUGGUAUUUAUAUUUCAGAGAUUCAAAUGCCUACACGGCAUAUGGCUUUUCUGCGUGGCUUUAUUAGGUAUGUUUCCCAAUACGAGCCUGAAAUCUGCAUCUAUUAUCGAAAGAGAAAUCUAUCCUUGUAAAGAUAAAUCAGAAAUAGAACAGCACAGAGUAAGAGGGAGUGCUUACCUGCUC